UACGUAGGCAGCGAGCGUUGUUCGGAGUUACUGGGCGUAAAGGGUGUGUAGGCGGUUGUUUAAGUUUGGUGUGAAAUCUCCCGGCUCAACUGGGAGGGUGCGCCGAAUACUGAAUGACUUGGAGUGCGGGAGAGGAAAGUGGAAUUCCUGGUGUAGCGGUGAAAUGCGUAGAUAUCGGGAGGAACACCAGUGGCGAAGGCGGCUUUCUGGCCUGCUCUUGACGCUGAGGCGCGAAAGCUAGGGUAGCAAACGGGG
rnacentral:rRNA from 1 species